CGGUUGGGGAUGGACUCGCGGCCUAUCAGCUGGAUGGUGAGGUAAUGGCUCACCAUGGCGACGACGGGUAGCCGGCCUGAGAGGGUGACCGGCCACACUGGGACUGAGACACGGCCCAGACUCCUACGGGAGGCAGCAGUGGGGAAUAUUGCACAAUGGGCGCAAGCCUGAUGCAGCAACGCCGCGUGAGGGAUGACGGCCUUCGGGUUGUAAACCUCUUUUGUCAGGGAAGAAGCGAGAGUGACGGUACCUGGAGAAAAAGCACCGGCUAACUACGUGCCAGCAGCCGCGGUAAUACGUAGGGUGCAAGCGUUGUCCGGAAUUAUUGGGCGUAAAGAGCUCGUAGGCGGCUUGUCGCGUCUGCUGUGAAAUCCCGGGGCUCAACCCCGGGCCUGCAGUGGGUACGGGCAGGCUAGAGUGCGGUAGGGGAGAUUGGAAUUCCUGGUGUAGCGGUGGAAUGCGCAGAUAUCAGGAGGAACACCGAUGGCGAAGGCAGAUCUCUGGGCCGCUACUGACGCUGAGGAGCGAAAGCAUGGGGAGCGAACAGGAUUAGAUACCCUGGUAGUCCAUGCCGUAAACGUUGGGAACUAGAUGU
rnacentral:rRNA from 1 species